AGGAACAUCUUGGUCCCUUUUUUAACAUAUGGGAUCAUGUGAAGGGCUGAGGUCCCAGGGAGGAGGAGGAGGGAACUGACCCCUGCUGACCUGAGUUGGGGGUGGAAAUUUGCAGUCUGAUUCUCAGACCAAGCCCAGCCCAUCCCCCUGGGAUGGACACGGGGAAGGGACUGACCCCCUGCUAGGACAGCCAGUUGGAUAAUGCCAGUAUGGUGGUUUGAGGAAUUUUCAGAAGACGUAGGUGGUCUGCUCCAGAGAAGCAUCACUUCUCUUCGCCCUGGUGGACAUUUCGACAUCAGCUGAAGGCGAGGAAUGAAGGAUGAGACAUGAAGAGCUGGAUCUGGCCAACAGAUGGCGCUGCUAUGGCUGAAAACCCCGGCAUGCCAUUACAUGUAAAUGAGGCCCAAGAAAUGGGCUGCUGGGAAUCAUCUUUUUAUAAAGUUUGGCCACAGCCUAGUA